rnacentral:rRNA from 1 species
UACGUAGGGUGCAAGCGUUAAUCGGAAUACUGGGCGUAAAGCGUGCGCAGGCGGUUUUGUAAGUCUGACGUGAAAUCCCCCGGGCUCAACCUGGGAAUUGCGUUGGAGACUGCAAGGCUAGAAUCUGGCAGAGGGGGGUAGAAUUCCACGUGUAGCAGUGAAAUGCGUAGAGAUGUGGAGGAACACCGAUGGCGAAGGCAGCCCCCUGGGUCAAGAUUGACGCUCAUGCACG